AUGGCUAAAUUCUGGUGGGGGAGCUCACUGGAUAGAAAAUCCCUUCACUAGAUUGCUUGGGAUAAGCUAGCUACACAAAAAGUUAAGGGAGGGAUGGGAUUCUGCGACCUUAAACAAUUCAACCUGGCACUAUUAGGGAAACAUGGAUGGAGACUAAUGACAGAACCAAACUCCUUGUGCGCCAGAGUUCUGAAAGGUAGGUAUUUCCACGAUUCAGAUUUCAUGCAGGCCACUAUACCGAAGUCUGCUUCGGCCACAUGGAGGGCGAUCAUAGCUGGUCGUGAUGCACUCAAAGUGGGAUUAGUGAAAAGAGUUGGUGAUGCAUCUUCCAUUUCGGUAUGGGAUGAAAAAUGA
rnacentral:rRNA from 1 species